UACGUAGGGGGCGAGCGUUGUCCGGAUUUAUUGGGCGUAAAGAGCUCGUAGGCGGUUCGAUAAGUCGGACGUGAAAUCUCCACGCUCAACGUGGAGGGGCCGUUCGAUACUGUCGUGACUCGAGUCCGGUAGGGGAGUGUGGAAUUCCCGGUGUAGUGGUGAAAUGCGUAGAGAUCGGGAGGAACACCUGUGGCGAAGGCAGCUCGCUGGUACGACACUGACGCUAAGGCGCGAAAGCGUGGGGAGCGAACAGG
rnacentral:rRNA from 1 species